CCGCGAACCCGACCUAUUCUUUGGGGUAGGCCCCGUGCGGCCUUUAAAUGGUACCUGGGACGUGGUCGCUUCGGCGAACCCCGGCGGAUGCGGCAGGCCCCCGGCAAGGGGGGGUCCGCCGCUUCGCUCGGGGGGUCGAUUCUUUCCUUGCAGAGGGUCGACCGCGUCGUCGCUUCGGCUGCCCCCCCCGGUCCGGCCCCGUUUGUUUUUUUUGCUAACGUGUUUGCAGACUGAAACGGUGAGUGAACGAAAAAAGAGAGACAACUCUCAACGGUGGAUCUCUUGGCUCGUGCAUCGAUGAAGAACGCGAAAUGCAGAAUUCAGUGAAUCAUCGAAUCUUUGAACGCAAAUGGCGCUCUCGGGUCUUCCCGGGAGCAUGUCUGUCCGAGUGUCGGCAUCCAUCGAAUCGCGCGUUCCGACGCGCGGCGUCGAGGUGUUGCGGCCGACUUGCGAGGCCGCGUCCCUUCAGAUGCAGAGCGACCCGGUCAGCGGCGCGAGCGCGGCGACUCCGGAGGCCUAAGAAGGAAUGGACGGUCAGCCCCGGAGACGACCCCGCCGCGCCCCGGUCGGGCAGAGGAAACCCGGGGAACGACGCUCUCGCGACCUCG
rnacentral:rRNA from 1 species